rnacentral:rRNA from 1 species
AGUCGAACGGGAAAAAGGGGCAACUCUGUGAGUACAGUGGCGUACGGGUGAGUAACACGUGACUACCUACCCUCGAGUGGGGGAUAACCCCGGGAAACCGGGGCUAAUACCGCAUAACAUCGCAAGAUCAAAGGAGCAAUUCGCUUGAGGAGGGGGUCGCGGCUGAUUAGCUAGUUGGUGAGGUAACGGCCCUCCAAGGCGAUGAUCGGUAGCCGGCCUGAGAGGGCGCACGGCCACACUGGAACUGAAACACGGUCCAGACUCCUACGGGAGGCAGCAGUGGGGAAUUUUGCGCAAUGGGGGAAACCCUGACGCAGCAACGCCGCGUGGAGGAUGAAGUCCCUUGGGACGUAAACUCCUUUCGACCCGGACGAUAAUGACGGUACGGGUGGAAGAAGCACCGGCUAACUUCGUGC